ACGUGUGUGUUCGGGUUGGUUGGGGCUGCCUGAGGAGGGUGAGGAGCAGCGGGUCUGUCUGAGGAACCCGCCGUGAAUGUUGUAAGCGCCGCAGCGAGUGGGGCUGAAGGGUAUUGCUUUGUGGUGUGUAAGGAGAAGGGACCUAGAAUAAAACAAAAUGGUGGUCUUCAUCUGUAAUGGAUGUGGAGCAUCUGUCAAGAAAGCUCAAGUGGAAAAGCAUUUUAAUAGUUGUCGGAAUUGCCCGUGCUUGUCAUGUAUUGACUGUGGCAAGGACUUUUGGGGAGAGGAUUACAAAUCACAUAUUAAAUGCAUUAGUGAAGAUGAAAAGUAUGGUGGUAAAGGAUUUGAAGCCAAGGCCAAAAAAGGAGAUGUGAAACAACAACAAUGGAUAGAG